rnacentral:rRNA from 1 species
UACAGAGGUGGCAAGCGUUGUUCGGAAUUACUGGGCGUAAAGGGCGCGUAGGCGGUCUUGUAAGUCUUGUGUGAAAUCCCUCGGCUCAACUGAGGAACUGCACGGGAUACUGCGAGACUUGAGUUCGGGAGAGGGAAGCGGAAUUCCGGGUGUAGCGGUGAAAUGCGUAGAUAUUCGCAAGAACACCAGUGGCGAAGGCGGCUCACUGGCCCGGUACUGACGCUGAGGUGCGAAAGCGUGGGGAGCAAACAGG